rnacentral:rRNA from 1 species
AUUGAACGCUGGCGGCAGGCCUAACACAUGCAAGUCGAACGAGUGGCGGACGGGUGAGUAAUGUCUGGGAAACUGCCUGAUGGCGGGGGAUAACUACUGGAAACGGUAGCUAAUACCGCAUACCAUCGGAUGUGCCCAGAUGGGAUUAGCUAGUGGGUGGGGUAAAGGCUCACCUAGGCGACGAUCCCUAGCUGGUCUGAGAGGAUGACCAGCCAAACUGGGACUGAGACACGGUCUAGACUCCUACGGGAGGCAGCAGUGGGGAAUAUUGGACAAUGGGGGCAAGCCUGAUGCAGCCAUGCCGCGUGUAUGAAGAAGGCCUUCGGGUUGUAAAGUACUUUCGGCGGGGAGGCGUUACCCGCAGAAGAAGCACCGGCUAACUCCGUGCCAGCAGCCCCGGUAAUUC